AGACGCUUCUUUCACACUGAAAAAUUGACGCCACUCCAAGACAGGUCCUAUCGCUCUAUAAGCCCUCAACAUGCUCUCUCGUAUAUUUCAUUCGACGACUCGCCGCUCCUCGUCUGUUGUCUCGAGCGGUAUACAAAGACGCUUCUUCGGCGACGCGCACGCCGAGAGCUCCCAAGAGGCUUUGGAGGGAAUGAAAAUAUGGAAAUACAUCACCGUCAUCGCCUUAGUUCCUAGCACCAUCGCAUUCGUACAUGCAAAUUUCAUCUGCGAACACGAAGAAGAAAUCGAACUCCCCGCAAUGCCCUACAAACAGAUAAUCAACAAGAAGUUUCCAUGGGGCGACGGAACUCAAUCGCUGUUUGGCAUGCUGCAUGCCAGAUAUAAAGCCCAACACGAACACUAGCUGGCAGAUUCCUUCAUUCAGAGAAAAUCAAGCCGUUCACCAAACAGAGCCAGAGAAAAUUCUUGACGUGUCUUACGGCCGUUCAUCGCUGGGUUCAGAUCACUCGCAAAGACACGUCAUAACAAACGCAAUAAAAGGUUUUUUUUUUU